rnacentral:rRNA from 1 species
GGACUACACGGGUUUCUAAUCCUGUUCGCUCCCCUAGCUUUCGCACCUGAGCGUCAGCAACUUGCCAGGAGACUGCCUUCGCUUUCGGUGUUCCUCCGGAUCUCUACGCAUUUCACCGCUCCACCCGGAAUUCCGUCUCCCCCUCAAGUCCUCAAGUCUACCAGUUUUCGAAGACCUUUUCCGGUUAAGCCGGAAAUUGUCACUCCGAACUAGGCAGACCGCCUGCGUGCGCUUUACGCCCAAUAAAUCCGGACAACGCUUGCCCCCUACGUAUUACCGCGGCGGCUGGCAC